ACUCAAAGGAAUAGACGGGGCUCCGCACAAGCAGUGGAUUAUGUGGUUUAAUUCGAUGCUACGCGAAGAACCUUACCGAGGCUUGACAUCCCUGGAACGCUCUCGAAAGAGAGCCGUGCCUUCGGGAGCCAGGUGACAGGUGCUGCAUGGUCGUCGUCAGCUCGUGUCGUGAGAUGUUGGGUUAAGUCCCGCAACGAGCGCAACCCUUGUCGUAUGUUGUAUUUUUCAUGCGAGACUGCCCGGGCCAACCGGGAGGAAGGUGGGGACGAGGUCAGAUCAGCAUGGCCCUUACGCCUCGGGCCACACACGUAAUACAAUGGCCAGUACAACGCGCAGCCAACCCGCGAGGGGGAGCAAAUCGCAUCAAAACUGGUCUCAGUUCGGAUUGUAGGCUGAAACUCGCCUGCAUGAAGCUGGAAUUGCUAGUAACCGUGGGUCAGCAUACCACGGUGAAUACGUUCCCGGAGCUUGCACACACCGCCCGU
rnacentral:rRNA from 1 species